CUCACCUGAACAUGCAACUUGCCGCUGGGGAGUGACUUCUAGAAUGCAAAGAUGCCAGCCAUGAGUUUUCUGCUGCUGCCUGGGUUCUGAAGGAAGUGCUUGGCAGAGGUCCUCAGUUCACUGCGCUCCGCGAGGCUGCCCCUCGGCUUCUGGAGGACCCAGGCGCGCAGAGAGAAUUCGGAGGCGUCUCUUCCCCGUUAAGGUUGCUGCUGGGCCUCACACUGGGAGAACUUCCGAUGAAGGUGAUGCGGCUUCCUACAUUUUUGAGGGGUAGGGGAGCACCUGUGAAAAGAUUCACUGAUACACAGCAAAAUCAUUCAUCCUAAGAGAGGCACUUUAUAAACCCUGCCCUAACAUUCUUCCAGCAUGAAGGAGUCUCCCAUAUCCCCUCCCCAAGGGAAGGAAAGGUGGCAGGCUUGGAGCAGAUUCGCCGUUUGCAAAGAGGAAAUUUAGGGAGAGCCCUCUUGACCUGGAAGGAUUGUGUUGUAAAGCUCUCUGGGAGAGGAUUUUCCUUUGAGUUGUGAGUGGUUUCUAUCCCUUGUAAACGCCAUACAUAUGUACUAAGUAUUUAGAUGGUUUAAGCAAAGGCUAAAUGGGCAUGGGAGAGAUACACUAGGCUUGCAACAGUUGCUGUAUAGGUCACGGUUUAUAUUUUCCUUUUUCACUGUAAUCCGGAUGGCACAAAUAUUGCAAAAAUUCAGAAAAAUAAAUUUCAGUAAGUGUAACUUUCUAAAACGUUAGAGGGUCUGUCUAUAUUGUAACAACUCUGAGGGAGGAAUCUUGCAUCCAAAAGGUUCUCCAAAUAGGAAGUCCCGAAGUGCUUUUUAGUAAGAAAUCACCUUUGUUUAAAGCUGGGACACCAUCUAUAAUAGCUUCCAAUCCUAAAACUCUAACUAACCAAGCUAAAAGCUUUACAAAUAUAGAACACUACUUAGUGGGCAAUAAUGAGAAGUCUUACUUUGUAAUCAUUCUUUGUUCAUCUUCCGAAUUAAAAAUGAUUGUGAAAUGCUAAGGAAUAAAAUUAAUCUCAUUAUUAUUGAUCGUAGAAGCAAUCAGAGUUAGUAUCUUCCAUGGCACUUCUUUCCAGAAGCAUCAGGAAUGCUAAUAUUAAAAUAUUAAAAUCAUUUGACAUAUUAGACAUCUCUUUAUGCAAUGGCUUCAGAAUAGAGAGUUGAAAAAAAUCAGGGUUUGAGAAACGAACAAUAACUUAAUAUGGAACAUUUUGGAAGAACGUAGGUGAAUGACACAGAGGUUUCCUGCAGGAAGAAGAGAACACCCUUGAUAUUACUUUUCAUUUUAGUUAUUUAAUUAUCUGCAUCGAUGGAAGAUUUGCUGCCUUCUGUUUUGGCAUGUUUUUAACCGUUUCUGUGCCUUGUUUGUUCUCGUGCUGUUCCUAAGGUAGAAGUAUUAAACUGGAGUAAAUACUUGUAUUGAUUAGCAGAGCAGAUACAAACUUAAUUAAACUCAUUUUGUGUAAUGUACAAACUAGUUAACGGUCAUUUAAUUUAUUUGGGUUUAUAUUAUGCUCCAAUUAACGGGACUCCAAAUGAGAACAAGGUAAUUAUCCGAUAUUUAGGACCGUUGUACUUCUGAGGAAGAUCAAGUCGUUAUGAAACCUGAAAUAAUAUUUGUAAAGGGGUCGCUUCUCCCUGUGGAUCAUGCCUCAGACAUUUCUGACACUUUGAAGGCCGGGUGCUAUAUUCGUUUGACCAUCCCAAAAUUCCAGUGAAGUAAAAAAGGAAUUUAGGAAUACAUCAAAUGCAGGAUCGGGCCUCAAACUGGAGUAAAAUAAAUAAGAGACGUUGUCCUCGUCACAGUUAGAUACUUCUAACUUCCUGAAUCGGUCUGCCUUUUACACCUAGAUAGCCCACUAGAGCUGUUACGUGUAAAUCCCCCUCCCUCCCAUAAAUUAAGUAGCGAGUUGAUCAUUAUGUGUUUAAUCAUUUCAGUUCCCUAAAUACUACGGCUGUACAGUCUCUCUCAAACUUUGCCAAAUCUUAAAACCAAAGGCUGCAUAUUCAGUUAGGUGAUUAUUUUUAAUUGAGAAAUUUAAAAACGUGAAAAAGGUUUCGUUCUGUGAAAUAAGCUGAUUUCGGCUAAACCUUGGAUAUUGCUUGCUCCCUACGGGAAAAAGAGAGAGACAAGUUUAUUAUAGUCGCUUUAGCCCGCAAAACCAAUGUUUAGUAAUCUGGGGACUUUUUAACGAAUAAUACUCUCCAUCUUGGUGUUAAACAUUAGAAAAUGCAAAUUUGGAAUUAUGACAGAUAUAUAGAAACAUGAGACUAUGG